rnacentral:rRNA from 1 species
UGGGGAAUAUUGGACAAUGGGCGAAAGCCUGAUCCAGCCAUGCCGCGUGUGUGAAGAAGGUCUUCGGAUUGUAAAGCACUUUAAGUUGGGAGGAAGGGCAUUAACCUAAUACGUUAGUGUUUUGACGUUACCGACAGAAUAAGCACCGGCUAACUCUGUGCCAGCAGCCGCGGUAAUACAGAGGGUGCAAGCGUUAAUCGGCAUUACUGGGCGUAAAGCGCGCGUAGGUGGUUUGUUAAGUUGGAUGUGAAAUCCCCGGGCUCAACCUGGGAACUGCAUUCAAAACUGACUGACUAGAGUAUGGUAGAGGGUGGUGGAAUUUCCUGUGUAGCGGUGAAAUGCGUAGAUAUAGGAAGGAACACCAGUGGCGAAGGCGACCACCUGGACUAAUACUGACACUGAGGCGCGAAAGCGUGGGGAGCAAACA